rnacentral:rRNA from 1 species
GACGUAGGGCGCGAGCGUUGUCCGGAUUUAUUGGGCGUAAAGAGCUCGUAGGCGGCUUGUUGCGUCGACUGUGAAAACCUGCGGCUCAACCGUGUGGUCUGCAGUCGAUACGGGCAGGCUGGAGUUCGGUAGGGGAGACUAGAAUUCCUGGUGUAGCGGUGAAAAUGCGCAGAUAUCAGGAGGAACACCGGUGGCGAAAGGCGGGGUCUCUGGGGCCCGAUACUGACGCUGAGGGAGCGAAAAGCGUGGGGGAGCGAAACAGG